AGAGUUUGAUUCUGGCUCAGGAUGAACGCUAGCUACAGGCUUAACACAUGCAAGUCGAGGGGCAGCAUUGGGGUAGCAAUACUCAGAUGGCGACCGGCGCACGGGUGAGUAACACGUAUCCAACCUGCCGCUUACUCGGGGAUAGCCUUUCGAAAGAAAGAUUAAUACCCGAUGGUAUAAAGAGUUCGCAUGUUCUCUUUAUUAAAGAAUUUCGGUAAGCGAUGGGGAUGCGUUCCAUUAGAUAGUUGGCGGGGUAACGGCCCACCAAGUCUACGAUGGAUAGGGGUUCUGAGAGGAAGGUCCCCCACAUUGGAACUGAGACACGGUCCAAACUCCUACGGGAGGCAGCAGUGAGGAAUAUUGGUCAAUGGACGAGAGUCUGAACCAGCCAAAGUAGCGUGAAGGAUGACUGCCCUAUGGGUUGUAAACUUCUUUUAUAAGGGAAUAAAGUGAGGGACGUGUCCCUUUUUGUAUGUACCUUAUGAAUAAGGAUCGGCUAACUCCGUGCCAGCCGCCGC
rnacentral:rRNA from 1 species